UACUGGAAAGACAGAUGAUUUAGCUAGGGAAAGUAGCGUUCUAGCCACAAUUCCAGUCUGCGAAACGUGAAACUAUGCGAUGCAUGUAUGUUGUAAUGCCGUUGAUGUCUCUACUGUUUUGUGUAUUCUUCGCGUCAAGCGCUCCAAGCACACAACAUAUCUGGGAGCGCUUGGUCAGACGGUCUGGCCUCCGCAGUUACCGGCAUGCUGACUCGAGCAAUUGGAGUCAAGAUGGCUAUAUUACAGAGUCUUGCUCCACUUUUCCCACGAUGCAAGCCAGCUGUAUACCACGAAAAUGCGCUUUUAGAGGAUAUGGAUGCGUACCGUUGAAGCUUUGCCAAGAAAAGCUAUCAAUGUGCCGAAGUAGAUGUAACAACCGAUCUGUUUGCUGCCAACUCAAACAAAUGAAGUCCUGCUCCUUGGCUGGAGGAACUUGUAACAGAACUUGCGAAGUUGAAAACAACAGGAUCAAAUGCCCUGGACAACUGAAGUGCUGUGUUCAUUUGGAGCGCUAAGCAGCCACUGCCUCAGCUUGCCUGCAUGCGAGACAUAAUGCCGGCUUGAUGAACGAAAACCUUACGAAUCAUUGUCCAUAUCCUUCUACCCAUU